AACGAACGCUGGCGGCGCGCUUAACACAUGCAAGUCGAACGAGAAGGCGUAGCAAUACGCUUGUACAGUGGCGAACGGGUGAGUAAUACGUGGGCGACCUACCCUCGAGUGGGGAAUAACCCGCCGAAAGGCGGGCUAAUGCCGCGUACGCUUCCAUCUUUAUGGAGGUGGAAGGAAAGCCGUGCCGUGGGCACGGCGCUCAAGGAUGGGCUCACGUCCUAUCAGCUUGUUGGUAGGGAACGGCCUACCAAGGCUCCGACGGGUAGCUGGUCUGAGAGGACGAUCAGCCACACUGGCACUGCGACACGGGCCAGACUCCUACGGGAGGCAGCAGUGAGGAAUAUUGCGCAAUGGGCGAAAGCCUGACGCAGCGACGCCGCGUGGGGGAGUGAAGGUC
rnacentral:rRNA from 1 species